GACGAACGCUGGCGGCGUGCUUAACACAUGCAAGUCGAACGAUGAUGCCCAGCUUGCUGGGUGGAUUAGUGGCGAACGGGUGAGUAACACGUGAGUAACCUGCCCCUGACUCUGGGAUAAGCGUUGGAAACGACGUCUAAUACUGGAUAUGAUCACCGGCCGCAUGGUCUGGUGGUGGAAAGAUUUUUUGGUUGGGGAUGGACUCGCGGCCUAUCAGCUUGUUGGUGAGGUAAUGGCUCACCAAGGCGACGACGGGUAGCCGGCCUGAGAGGGUGACCGGCCACACUGGGACUGAGACACGGCCCAGACUCCUACGGGGGGCAGCAGUGGGGAAUAUUGCACAAUGGGCGAAAGCCUGAUGCAGCAACGCCGCGUGAGGGAUGACGGCCUUCGGGUUGUAAACCUCUUUUAGUAGGGAAGAAGCGAAAGUGACGGUACCUGCAGAAAAAGCACCGGCUAACUACGUGCCAGCAGCCGCGGUAAUACGUAGGGUGCAAGCGUUGUCCGGAAUUAUUGGGCGUAAAGAGCUCGUAGGCGGUUUGUCGCGUCUGCUGUGAAAUCCCGAGGCUCAACCUCGGGCUUGCAGUGGGUACGGGCAGACUAGAGUGCGGUAGGGGAGAUUGGAAUUCCUGGUGUAGCGGUGGAAUGCGCAGAUAUCAGGAGGAACACCGAUGGCGAAGGCAGAUCUCUGGGCCGUAACUGACGCUGAGGAGCGAAAGCGUGGGGAGCGAACAGGAUUAGAUACCCUGGUAGUCCACGCCGUAAACGUUGGGCGCUAGAUGUAGGGACCUUUCCACGGUUUCUGUGUCGUAGCUAACGCAUUAAGCGCCCCGCCUGGGGAGUACGGCCGCAAGGCUAAAACUCAAAGGAAUUGACGGGGGCCCGCACAAGCGGCGGAGCAUGCGGAUUAAUUCGAUGCAACGCGAAGAACCUUACCAAGGCUUGACAUACACCGGAAACGGCCAGAGAUGGUCGCCCCCUUGUGGUCGGUGUACAGGUGGUGCAUGGUUGUCGUCAGCUCGUGUCGUGAGAUGUUGGGUUAAGUCCCGCAACGAGCGCAACCCUCGUUCUAUGUUGCCAGCGCGUUAUGGCGGGGACUCAUAGGAGACUGCCGGGGUCAACUCGGAGGAAGGUGGGGAUGACGUCAAAUCAUCAUGCCCCUUAUGUCUUGGGCUUCACGCAUGCUACAAUGGCCGGUACAAAGGGCUGCGAUACCGUAAGGUGGAGCGAAUCCCAAAAAGCCGGUCUCAGUUCGGAUUGAGGUCUGCAACUCGACCUCAUGAAGUCGGAGUCGCUAGUAAUCGCAGAUCAGCAACGCUGCGGUGAAUACGUUCCCGGGCCU
rnacentral:rRNA from 1 species